rnacentral:lncRNA from 1 species
GCAAAUUAUUAUUUCAUAAUCAUAUUGAUACAGUUGUUUCAUUACACACCAACAACACAAGAGAAAACAGAUGGAAAUUCAAAUAAUCAUUUAUUCAACAUGUUGAUGCAACGGCCUCAAAGAGUGUGGCUACGAAUUGCAUUUGAGUGUCUUCAUCAAUUGUUGAGAAGAGAGGAACAUGGACAAACAGAGACUUGUGACCCUUCUGCUCUGCAAACCGAAGUGAGUGGUAAUAGACAUAAUUGCAAACGAAACGGCCUGCAUCGUCAGAUAUAACUACAUCAAAGCCCUUCUUCUUCAAGAACUUCAGGAUUGCUUCAGUGGAUAGAGAUGUCUUCAAGAAACAGAAGAUGAAAAUGUUAAACAAACGAGGAGAGUUGCCAGAGAAAGAACAGAGAAUUCAAAAUGUCACAUACUUAUGUCUAAUGGUAAGUGAUAAGGUUAUUGAUGCUAUAAAUCCCAAAAAAAAAAAUUAAAAAAGAAAACUCCUAAUCUCAUACAUGGAAAUUGGAGAGGAGGAGAGUGGAGGAAGGGUGCUCUCAGAUUACCUGUCUUGAUCGGGAAAUUCCUCCAUCCUCAAGGACUACUGGAAUUUGCUGGAAAAAGCAAAAGAAAAUUCAGUGUAAAAAACUAUGAAAGGCAAUUUUAUAUUCAAGUUCCAGAAGUGUUUUACAUUUUUUCAUGUUAAGGGAUUUACUUCACAUUAGGAAUAUAUGAAAGGUAUAAAAACAUACAUAUAUUCUGGAUUCAGAAGGCUACUGUAUAAGUUAUAGCCUCCAUUUUCCACAGAGGGAAUGGAGUAAUUGAAAUGGCUCCUUUGCAAACAAUGUAAUCCAGGAAGGAAAAAAGGUUAAGGAUCUUGGCCAAAAGAGUUUAAGAGAAUUGCUAUUUUGAUGGAAGACAAAGCAAAUUUACCUGAGGUUGCCAUCCCAGUUGGUCUGGACAAAGGAAUGUGGCUUCAUUCACUGCUUGCCGCUCUAAGGCAAACUUUGAUGACCCACUAUUUACCCCCAAAUGAAUCUGAAAAAGCAACAAAAUUUAAGUCUUCUUAGACACACUAUUUAAUCCAAAACUGAAAAGGUGAAUUCGUGGACUGACAUUUUUGUGAUCGGCAAUUUUAUUAAAUAUAUGAAUUCAAUGCAAUUGAUCUAGAGCACGUUGUUGCGCACCUCACAUUGGGGAGCUAGCCUGUGGGGCCCAGCGCCUCCCAAUAAGAGUGAAAUGCUUUAAAGCCAAGUCCCAGAGGAUACAAGCAGCCAAUAUACCAAAAACAUAAAGUAGACAGACAACAGCAACAGUUGAAGGUCGACUAUAGUGAAAAAUAGAGAAUGAAAAGGAGCAAGCAGUAAUAACAAAGCAAAUGCAAAGAAGGAGGGGGUAAAAAAAAGAAGUGAAGCAAUGAUUGACUAAAAACAACUAGAAAUUUAAGAGAUACGACUACCCUUAUAUUUAGACUAUGCACAAAGCAUCUACUAAUAUAAUUUUUAAAAGUUCGCCGGGCUUUUCUAUGUUCAAUUUGCACGAAAUUUUCUGGUCAGCCUCAAAACUGAGCGAUAGUGAGGCAUCCUGAGAAGUCUCAUGGAUUCUUAUUUCCUUUUGAAUUAGGCUUCAACAGCCGUGUUGUAGAGUUGGUGUCCCAAUUCACAGGCCUAAACAUGGCUGCUCUUAGUAAACUAAUUAACCAUUCAAAAGAAAAAAAAGUGUGAGAAUUUCCUCUCCUAUAUUACAUAUAAAUUCCAAAAUAUUAGCAAUUUUUAAAACUAAAUGAAGUUGCAGAACAAAGCUAACCCAGAUGACUUGUUCAUUGUUUGUAUUUGUUUGAGAUAUGCUCGAUUCCAAGGUCUUCAAAAGUGUGGGAAGUGCACCAUCUCCAGCUGCCUCCAGAACAGUGCAACUGCCUAAAGUAACACCAGCUGGCAGCCCUCUUCUUUCAACAUAAGCCUUUAGAUUGUUAACUACAGUCUCUGUAGGGUUUUCAGCAA